ACACAUGCAAGUCGAGGGGCAGCAUGAGGAGUCAGCAAUGACACCUUGAUGGCGACCGGCGGAAGGGUGCGUAACGCGUGAGCAACCUGCCCGUCACGGGGGGAUAACCGGUGGAAACGCCGACUAAUAUCCCAUAGUUCUUUUUAGGGGCAUCCCUUUAAAGAUAAAGGCUUCGGCCGGUGACGGAUGGGCUCGCGUGACAUUAGGCAGUAGGUGGGGUAACGGCCCACCUAACCGACGAUGUCUAGGGGUUCUGAGAGGAAGGUCCCCCACACUGGAACUGAGACACGGUCCAGACUCCUACGGGAGGCAGCAGUGAGGAAUAUUGGUCAAUGGGCGGAAGCCUGAACCAGCCAUGCCGCGUGACGGAAGACGGCCCUAUGGGUCUUAAACGUCUUUGGUCCCGGAGCAAUAAGAGCCACGCGUGGCUCGAUGAGAGUACGGGAAGAACAAGCAUCGGCUAACUCCGUGCCAGCAGCCGCGGUAAUACGGGGGAUGCGAGCGUUAUCCGGAUUUAUUGGGUUUAAAGGGUGCGUAGGCGGGGUGGUAAGUCAGCCGUGAAAUGUCCACGCUCAACGUGGAACGUGCGUUUGAUACUGCCGUCCUGGAAUGCGGAUGCCGUGGGAGGAAUGUGUGGUGUAGCGGUGAAAUGCAUAGAUAUCACACAGAACACCGAUUGCGAAGGCAUCUCACGAAUCCGCAAUUGACGCUGAGGCACGAAAGCGCGGGUAUCGAACAGGAUUAGAUACCCUGGUAGUCCGCGCUGUAAACGAUGAUGGCUAACCGCCGGCGACACACUGUCGGUGGCCAAGCGAAAGCGAUAAGCCAUCCACCUGGGG
rnacentral:rRNA from 1 species